CCAUUUCUACUUUGGCCAUUGUAUUCAUUUCGACGACCCUUAUACUUCCUUGGAAUCCCGUAUGUGUCCAUGCAGGGAAUCCGCAAGUUGGCCCUAGACGCCGGACAGACAGAUCACGUCAUGGCUUCAGUGUGCCUCUUCCUUAUUACCACUUAAGGAUACGAAGAACCACUACAAGAAGACGUCGAUAUCAAUUUCGCAUAGGUGGCCCUUUCCGUCAACGACGUCGCAUUUGAGUGGGUGAGAGCAUGUGUUACUAAGACGGCCAAGAUUAUCCGAAAAUAAAUACGUGCUUCUACCUUUGUGCUGCA
rnacentral:lncRNA from 1 species